rnacentral:rRNA from 1 species
UACGAAGGGGGGCUAGCGUUGCUCGGAAUCACUGGGCGUAAAGCGCACGUAGGCGGCUUACUAAGUCAGGGGUGAAAUCCUGGAGCUCAACUCCAGAACUGCCUUUGAUACUGGUGAGCUCGAGUCCGGAAGAGGUGAGUGGAACUGCGAGUGUAGAGGUGAAAUUCGUAGAUAUUCGCAAGAACACCAGUGGCGAAGGCG